AUCCUGGCUGAAUGGAAUACCUAGGAAGUGGCUGCUCACCUGAAAAGGGCAGCUGUAAAUCAGAGCCUGGUGCAACCCUGGCAGCUCAGCAGGGAGUGUGUCCCCUGCCCGCACCAAGGCCUUCUCCGCUCUGGGGGUUGCAGAGAGCAGUAGAGAGCAGCCUAGCUCCAGGCCUCUAGCAGAGCUGCCAUUCAGAGAAACAAAGCUCAGGUCCCCGGCCCCUCCAGCCUGGACCAGGCUACCUGUCCCCCACCUCCUGCAAGGCUCUGGGCUCUAGGCUGCUAAGAGCAGCACCCCCCCCCCCCACCCCUCCCUAGAAGUUGAGCUGCUGACCUGGCAGAGGCUCCUUCCUAUCUGGCUUCUCUGAGCCCUUGGAGGUUGUCCUGGUCACCCAGAUUGGGAGUGCAAGGCUGAGGGGACGAGUUGCCCCAGGGGAGAGGCUGCUUCAGUUCCAUUCCAGAAGGUGCCUCCUCCUCCCCGUCCGCACAGCCUGUGCUUUCCUGUGCACCUUUGCAGGCAUAGACCUUGGAGCAUAAACCACAGAGUAUCCAUUGAACCUUGCGUGCCCUCAGUCCAGCCUCCUCUGACAGAAGACCUGAGAUGCAGAGGAGGGACAUGACCUGUCCCCCGCCAAACACAUUUUGGGGCUGGCUCCUGGCAGGGCUGGGCCUGGGAGCUGGGUCUCUUGCUGCCUAGCCCAGAGCUCAUUCUGUUCACCUGUACUUCCUCCAGUGCGGCUGCCUCGUGUCGUGUCCUCACCCCUGUCCCUUUGGCCGUUAGCCUCCGUCUGCCUUUCUCAGCCCUUGAGAGAGGCAGGUGGGCUCGGCAGAGGGGGCAGUCAGAAGCUGGCAGGAGCCAGGCCUCUGUCCCUUCCCCACAUUUGGCCACAUCUGGGCGGCCUAGCCCCAGACUUGGCAUUCUUGUGAGCUGCUGCAGGAGCCACACCGCCCAGAAGCCAAGGGGCGAGACGCUCAGGCGCCCUGCCAGGAUAGGGAACGGAGGCUCCCUGGGUGCACCGCUUCCUGAGGCGGCUGGCCUCGGACAAUUUAGUCUCUCCCUCUGUGCCUCAGUGUCUUCAUCUCCAAAAGGGGAUCAUAAUUUGGCUGGGAAGAUUGAGUGAAGGAACACCUGUAAAGUGCCUGGCACAGCGUCUGGCAAAGGGAGACAUCUGUCAGUGUUAGUUUGUCCUUCUGCCUUCUCCUUGUGGGGAAAGUUUGUCACAAGGAGAAAAUGCUUACGGGGAGCCUGUCCUGAAGGGGCCGGCCAGGCUGGACCACCCCAGCUCACACGCGCUCUCCUUGUUGUCUGGGUCUAUCUCGCUGGGCUGGGGAGUACCCGCAUCCCUGCUGCUUGCCAGUGGCCAAGACGGUAAAAUCCUGGGACCACACAGCAGGAAUUGCCCCCUUCCCACUGGUGCCACCUCUGGCCUCGUCACCCUUCUUAUGGACUGUUGCAGCAGUCUCCCUACUGCCCUCUCAGCGUCACCCACUCUGCCCAGAGGGCACUUGCCAGCCCACGCAUUCUGUCCUCACUCUCUGCUGCUUGAGAGGUGGCACCCCAGCUUCAGAACUGGUCCCGAGGCUCCAUCAGCCCCUGCCCUGUAUACCUCUGUGCUGGGGACUACCUCAGUGUCCUCAUCUGGGAGUUGUUGGGAGAAUCCCUUACCGGCACCCACUGUGCCCAAGACAGAAUUACUUCCCUUAUCCUGUCACUGCGGCAGCACUUGUCACAGUGCAUCAGCAUUUGUGGGUCAUCUGUCUGUCUCUCCCAGGAGACAGCAUGGGGCCGGGCCCCCAGUCCACGUCCAGACCCCCCAGGGCCUCCUUCAGGACCUGACACUUGAUCAUGCUCAGCUCCAACCACCAUCUGCAAACAGCCACUUCAUGACUGCUUUCUAAGCAGGAGGAGGAGGAUGAAGGCAGGCAGCCCUGGCUCUAAUCCCCGGUCCAUAACUUUCUGGUGACUUCUCUGAGCCUCAGCUUCUUCAUUUGUAAACAGGCAGAAUCGCCGAGAAUGAAAUGGCAUAAGCCGGUGAAGGAAGGAUUUGACAGCUGUGUGUCCCACGCCUGCCCUCACCCCUCACUCUUUGCCCUCCCUUGCCCUCACUCGUCCCCCUGGAGCUGGCCAGACGCCAGCCCAAGGGAGGAGAGCUGGGCGUUCCUGGGGAGGCAGCGUCUGAGGAUUUCAGACCUUGCAAAGAGCAGGCUAACAGGUAACUUGGUGCCUGCUCUAACUCCUGCCAGCUCCUGCAAGAUCAUUCUAAACCCAAGAGCUGUGUCGCAGCAGGGCAUUGUGGCUGUCGGAGUCAAGGCAGUGGGGCCCUGCUCACCUGCCUUCGCACCACACCCAGGGAGAUGUGCUCCGCACCCUGGGAUGAAAGUGGACUCCUGGGACCUGGACUGCCCUCCUUGAGUCACCUGUGCAUUCGAGGGAGGAGUCUUUGUUCACCCCUCAUGCCCCCCCACCUGGCCUCCCUGGUGACCGGGGCAGCCUCAGGCCGCAGGUGGGGGUGGAAGCUGAGAGCUGCCAGGACUUGCUCAAGUGCAUGCCCUGGGGCACUCAGACCUACAGGAGCCAGCCAGGCCUGCAGUGUGAAAGGCCCCGGAAGUCCAGGCAGCCUGACUGGCCCACUGAUGGGUCACCAGAAACCUGGCCUGGCCCCACAGCCAGGCCCAGGACCAGCUGCCACGCAGAACUGCACAAUGGCAAGAUGAAAGCGUCCUGUGGCUGGGUUGCCCAACAACGUGAAUGUGCUUAAUGCUUAAUACGGAACGGCCCAUUUGAAAAUGGUUAAGAUGGAUGGGUGAUUUCACAGGUAUGAUUGCCUAAAACGAGGCUGAAGGGUCCAGACCCUCACGGGCAUCCAGGCAGGCCUCCGGCCGGCAGAGGAGCAGACUCUGCUUUGCCCUUCACCAGCACCGGGGCCACCUGCCCACUGACACUCCUUUCCUGAGAGAGGAGGGCAAGCUGGAAGGCCAGAGGAGUGACCUUGUGGUCACCUGUGGGACUCCUGCUGUGUGGAGAAGACGGCUGAGAUGCUGAAGGGCACUGUUUCAGUGCCAAAAGAGGGAUGUUUCCCAUGGAGUAUGGGAGCCCCAAGCCAGACCAGUUAGGUCCUGGUCUUGGGGGGUCUCAGCCACCUGGCCAGCCAUGCACUAUGUGUCCAGCCAGUGGGCCCCUCACCCGCCCUUCCAGCUCUCUGUGCCCGGCCAGUCAGCCAAGCCAGGGCAUAGCCCUCCCUACCCUGGGCCUGGUACAUGAAACUCCACAGGCCUUGGAAGUCAAAAUCAGCCCCUCUCCCCUGUAGCUUCUGCUGAGGCAGAGGUUUCCCUGGGCCCCUACUCUGUUCCGCUUCCUCAACCCACUGAGUAGAUGUGCCCGACACAGCCCGCCCAUCUGGCUUCCAUCCCUGACCCGCAGCAGGCCCCACUCCCAGAGCCACGUGAUGGCUGCGCCUGUGCCCAAGCGUUCAUCCCGCCCCACCCAGGAGAGACAGACAGGCUGGCACACAUCUCCCUGCCUGGCGCUGCCACUCCCCCGCCCCACCCUCCCCCAGUCCUACCAGGGCAGCAGCUCCCCUCCCACUUGCUCCACCUCCUCCGAGACCCGGGCUGCACACAGAUCCUCACUCAGUCCUCGGGGUCCUCCAAGUAUGCGUUUGUCACCCUUGGCAGGUCCAGUGGCAGGAUGGGCACAGGAUGGUGCAGUGUGGUCACCAGGGAGUUCAGGCCCUGGACCAGCCUCUUACUCUGCACACAGCUGCUAUCCCCAGGGUGCUUACCAGGCUGACGGGGACAAAGAGGGCACCAGAGGGGGCAAACACCACUCGUCAUUCCUGGGCUAGCGUACCCACAGGAGCCAGUGGGAAGGCCACACAGACCUACUGAAUAGCUUGUUGUAGGCUGAUCCUUCGGGAAGCAGAUGCUGAGCUGGAGUUCAGAGUGUGAGAGUUUACUGGGGGGAACAUCUGUGAAAGGAAAGGGGAGGAAGCAGGAUCGGGCAGAGGGCACCACCAGGUGAUACAGACCCAGUGGCCCUGCCCAGCACGGGCCUCCAGAUCUGCCUGUUGGAGGAUCCCUCAUUGGGCCGAAAAGGGCCUCAGACCACUGUGCCGGGCAGCCGUCCUCCUGAGGAGAGCACCAUCUCCAGCUAAAAGCUGCAAUGGACCCAGAAGGUGCUAACAGCUGGCCACCGUCAGGCAGCCACAGUCCUUGCAGCUGGGCAGUGAGUCCUUUCUUGCAGGGGGGUGUCACCUUGUCCCAGUCAGGCCGUGCUGUGUGCCCUUAGCAUGGAAGCAGGUCAAUGGUGGGGCCUCGGCCUCCUAGACUCUGCCUCCUGGCAGGAGGCGCUCGGCGUGGUGAAUGAGUGUGUGCAUGAACAGGUGUGUGAGCUCACUCUUCAAGCACUGGGUUUUAGUGUGAUUCUGGAAUGUGGCAUCAGAGGACCUGCACUUGCAUUGAGUCCUGGCUUUUAGGAGCUGUGUGACCUUUAACCUGUGCUAGACCUCAAUUACGUUAUUUGUGAAAUGAGGGUGAUGAUGCCUGUUGUGAGAUUUCGAUGCGGUGAGAACCCUGAAGCUCACUGUGGAGUGAACUCAGGUGUCUGCUGUGAUCUUUCUCCUGCAGGGCAGAAAAUGUCACCCUGUGUAAGGAAGGGGACAGGCAGAAAACAGGCCAGAAACGUUCACAGUCAACGUCUCUGGGCGAGUUUUUUUUUUUGUUUUAUUUUGAAAUAGUUUUAGACUUAGAGAAAAGUUGCAGAAAUAGUAGAGUUCACUUGUCCCCUUGACUCAGCCUCCUCCUGUGUUAACAUUGCCCAUAACCAUGGCCCAGGGAUGCCAACCGAGGAGUUAACAGCAGUACUAUACAUUGCAGACUUCAUUUGGGUUCCACCAAAACCCCUUUUCUGGUUCAGAAUCCAGCCCAGCACCCCGCAGGACAAUUAGCUGUCAUGUCUCCUUAGUCUUCUCCAGUCUCUGCCGCUCCUCAGUGUUCCCUCAUCUUUUGUGACCUCACGUUGUGAAGAGGACUGGCCAGGUACGUUUGCGCGAGGCUGGGCGGCGUGGGGAAGAGUACCACAAAGACAUGUGCCUUGUCAGUGCAGAGCAGGGGCCACAAGACAUCAGUAUAGCUCAUUACUAGUACCUGUGCCGAGACCCAACAACACUUUAAUUCCAUUUACCUCCUUACCAUUUAAUUCCACUUACUCCUCCUCUGAUUUCCAAGCUACUGUUGUUUAUUUAACCCCACAGACAUUAUUGUUUUCUCAUAAAAUCUUCAGCUAGAUUGACCCACAUGUUUACCAUGGUUUUUGUCCUUCCUCCUUCCCUGCAUCCAUGAUCUUUCAUCAUCUUCCUUCUUUGCAAAACAGCCUUUAGAAUUCCUAUAAAGUGAAACAGUCCGUUGGUGGCAUAUUCUCUUGGUUUUUGUCUGAAAAUGUCUUUCUUGCGUGUUUCUUCUUGAAGGAUAAUUGCACUGAGUAUAGAAUUCUAAGUACAUUGAAGCUGUUGUUUACCAUCUGCUGGCUUCCGUGUUUGCUCUUGAGUCGGAUGUGGUCUAAUUCUGUGAAAACGCCAGGUUUCGCUACAGUAUGGUGCAGUAACAAACAUCCCCUAAAUCUCCUUGGCUUGCAACAACAAAGGUUUAUUUCUAGCUUGCUUUCCGUGUCCUGUGUGGGUUGGCUGCAGCUCCUGCUGGUGGGGUGCUAGUCUCCUGACAGAGAGAAAAGAG
rnacentral:lncRNA from 1 species